rnacentral:misc_RNA from 1 species
AAAAACCCUAAAUAAAAAGCUUCAAUCUUUGAACUCACCAUUUUUUUCCUUCUCAAAAACAGCAUCAUUCCCAAAGAUAACCAAAUGCAAGAAAUACCCAUUAAUUACUAUGUCAAGUCAGCAGCAAAGUCCACCACCCCAUGUAGCAUUAACCAACAAUGACCACAAGGAAGAACUCAUGAGGGCUAUCAAAAGUUCAAUAACUAAUUGCUUAUCUGAAACCCAUCUUGAUUUAACUGUACCUCAACUCAAGUCCAAAAUCAGAGGCAAGGUUAGAGAUAUAUAUGAUGGAGGGGAUUAUCUUGUAAUGGUGACAACAGAUAGGCAAAGUGCGUUUGACAGAAUUCUUGCUUCCAUCCCCUUCAAAGGCCAGGUGCUUAAUGAAACAAGUUUGUGGUGGUUUAAUAAGACUCAACAUAUUACUCCUAAUGCAGUGGUAUCUGUACCUGACAAAAACGUAACUAUUGCGAGGAAAUGUUCGGUUUUCCCUGUUGAAUUUGUAGUACGAGGAUAUGUUACUGGAAGCACUGAUACAUCACUCUGGACAGUCUACAAUAAAGGGGUUCGCAAUUAUUGCGGCAACAACCUUCCUGAUGGUCUGGUGAAAAAUCAAAAGCUUACCGAAAAUAUACUUACUCCGACAACUAAAGCAGCAGAUCAUGAUGUUCCUGUAACACCAGAUGAGAUAGUUCAACGCGGUCUUAUGACUCAAGCUGAUUACGAUGAAGUCAGUAGGAGGGCAAUGAGCUUAUUUGAGUUUGGCCAGCAUGUAGCAUUGGAUCAUGGGUUGAUAUUAGUGGACACCAAAUAUGAAUUUGGAAAAGGACCCGAUGGUCAAAUUUAUCUGAUUGAUGAGGUGCAUACACCUG